AUUGAACGCUGGCGGAAUGCUUUACACAUGCAAGUCGAACGGCAGCACGGGGCAACCUGGUGGCGAGUGGCGAACGGGUGAGUAAUACAUCGGAACGUGCCCAAUCGUGGGGGGAUAACGUAGCGAAAGUUACGCUAAUACCGCAUACGAUCUACGGAUGAAAGCGGGGGAUCGCAAGACCUCGCGCGAAUGGAGCGGCCGAUGUCAGAUUAGGUAGUUGGUGGGGUAAAGGCUCACCAAGCCGACGAUCUGUAGCUGGUCUGAGAGGACGACCAGCCACACUGGGACUGAGACACGGCCCAGACUCCUACGGGAGGCAGCAGUGGGGAAUUUUGGACAAUGGGCGCAAGCCUGAUCCAGCCAUUCCGCGUGCAGGAUGAAGGCC
rnacentral:rRNA from 1 species